GACGAACGCUGGCGGCGUGCCUAACACAUGCAAGUCGAGCGGAGGUAGACAAGGAGUAAUCUGAGUUUACCUUAGCGGCGGACGGGUGAGUAACGCGUGAGCAACCUGCCUUUCACAGGGGGAUAAGGCGGCGAAAGCCGCUCUAAUACCGCAUGAGACCACGGUGAUGAUAUUACAGGGGUCAAAGGAGCAACCCGGUGAAAGAUGGGCUCGCGUCCGAUUAGGUAGUUGGUGGGGUAGAGGCUCACCAAGCCAAUGAUCGGUAGCCGGCCUGAGAGGGUGAACGGCCACAUUGGAACUGAGAGACGGUCCAAACUCCUACGGGAGGCAGCAGUGGGGAAUAUUGGGCAAUGGGCGAAAGCCUGACCCAGCAACGCCGCGUGAAGGAAGAAGGUUUUCGGAUUGUAAACUUCUGUUCUUGGGGAAGAGAAGAAGACGGUACCCAAGGAGGAAGCCCCGGCUAACUACGUGCCAGCAGCCGCGGUAACAC
rnacentral:rRNA from 1 species